rnacentral:rRNA from 1 species
AGGCUUAACACAUGCAAGUCGAGCGCAYUCUUUUAGAGUGAGCGGCAAACGGGUGAGUAACGCGUGGGAAUCUACCCCUCUCUACGGAAUAACACAGAGAAAUUUGUGCUAAUACCGUAUACGUCCUAUUGGAGAAAGAUUUAUCGGAGAUGGAUGAGCCCGCGUUGGAUUAGCUAGUUGGUGAGGUAAUAGCUCACCAAGGCGACGAUCCAUAGCUGGUCUGAGAGGAUGAUCAGCCACACUGGGACUGAGACACGGCCCAGACUCCUACGGGAGGCAGCAGUGGGGAAUAUUGGACAAUGGGGGCAACCCUGAUCCAGCCAUGCCGCGUGAGUGAUGAAAGCCCUAGGGUUGUAAAGCUCUUUCA